GGAAGGGAAGACCCUGCCUGACCACGCCCCUCCUCACACCACAUUUUCCUCACAGCCAUGAGUGGAUGAACCCUCCGCGAGCUGGGGGCUUCGGGGGGCGAUCUAGAUAAAAAGCAUAACAGCCCCGGAAAAGAAAACCCCAAAAUCUGGGUUAAAAGGCAGAAUUAUGUACAUUGUACAGGACAUCCGUCUCCAUGUACAAAAAUUUUCAGAAUGGGGUGGGGGCUGUCUGGUCCUCUGCUCCUUCUCUCGGACACUGCUCCCCUGCUCUGCUUCCUGGCCAGCAUGAACUAAGCAUCUUUACUCUACCCCACCCUUCCACCACGAUGGCCCGGCCUUGGGGCCUGCUGACCACGGACUGAAUCCCCUGAAACAAGGAGCCAAAUUGAACCGCUCCUCCCUUAAGUGUGGGUGUCGGGCACUGUGCUUCAGUAACUAACACGGAAAAGCAGCACAAGGGAGGAGACCGGGAAGUUCAAGGUCACGGAGCUACACCUGGCAAGGCAUUUCUCCACGGGUAAUUCGUGUGGUGGGGAGCAGAGGAUGGGAGGGGACCGGUUCUCCUAUCGAGAACUGCUUUCACCAGGGAAGACGCCCUGCUCUCGUGAAGUCCCCGUUGUCAACCCUGUUGCUCGGAGGAAUAAAGUUUUCCGCACAUAUUCGUGAGGGACACACUGAAGCCACAGCAGUUAAUCCAGUUAGGAGACGCUGGAGCCAGGGGAGUGGACACAAGGGAACGGAGGGAAGGGCUGGGUGGCGGGGUUUCCGCGAGGAAGGCGCCAGGCCCUGAGGUGCGGAGCACGAGCAG